rnacentral:rRNA from 1 species
UUUAUAGCUUGCUAUGAUAAAAAUUAGUGGCAGACGGGUGAGUAAUGCAUAGGAAUCUACCUAGUAGUAUGGGAUAGCCACUAGAAAUGGUGGGUAAUACUGUAUAAUCCCUGCGGGGGAAAGAUUUAUCGCUAUUAGAUGAGCCUAUGUUAGAUUAGCUAGUUGGUAGGGUAAAGGCCUACCAAGGCAGUGAUCUAUAGCUGGUCUGAGAGGAUGAUCAGCCACACUGGAACUGAGAUACGGUCCAGACUCCUACGGGAGGCAGCAGUGGGGAAUAUUGGACAAUGGGCGCAAGCCUGAUCCAGCUAUGCCGCGUGAGUGAGGAAGGCCUUAGGGUUGUAAAACUCUUUCAGUGGGGAAGAUAAUGACGGUACCCACAGAAGAAGUCCC